rnacentral:tRNA from 2 species
CAAAGUGUAGCUUAUAUAGUAAAGUACUUCAUUUACACUGAAGAUUUUUCUGUGCAAAUCGGAAUACUUUGA